CAGCCGCCACGGUAAUACGAAGGGUGCAAGCGUUAAUCGGAAUUACUGGGCGUAAAGCGUGCGUAGGCGGUGAGUUAAGUCUGCUGUGAAAUCCCCGGGCUCAACCUGGGAAUGGCAGUGGAUACUGGCUCGCUAGAGUGUGUCAGAGGAUGGUGGAAUUCCCGGUGUAGCGGUGAAAUGCGUAGAGAUCGGGAGGAACAUCAGUGGCGAAGGCGGCCAUCUGGGCUCAUACUGACACUGAGGUGCGAAAGCGUGGGGAGCAAACAGGAUUAGAUACCCCCGUAGUCCCUGUCUCUUAUAA
rnacentral:rRNA from 1 species